rnacentral:rRNA from 1 species
AGUGAACGCUGGCGGUAGGCCUAACACAUGCAAGUCGAACGGCAGCACAGGAGAGCUUGCUCUCUGGGUGGCGAGUGGCGGACGGGUGAGGAAUACAUCGGAAUCUACUUUUUCGUGGGGGAUAACGUAGGGAAACUUACGCUAAUACCGCAUACGACCUACGGGUGAAAGCAGGGGAUCUUCGGACCUUGCGCGAUUGAAUGAGCCGAUGUCGGAUUAGCUAGUUGGCGGGGUAAAGGCCCACCAAGGCGACGAUCCGUAGCUGGUCUGAGAGGAUGAUCAGCCACACUGGAACUGAGACACAGUCCAGACUCCUACGGGAGGCAGCAGUGGGGAAUAUUGGACAAUGGGUGCAAGCCUGAUCCAGCCAUACCGCGUGGGUGAAGAAGGCCUUCGGGUUGUAAAGCCCUUUUGUUGGGAAGGAAAUCCAGCUGGCUAAUACCCGGUUGGGAUGACGGUACCCAAAGAAUAAGCACCGGCUAACUUCGUGCCAGCCGCCGCGGUAA